rnacentral:rRNA from 1 species
GGGUUAAGUCCCGCAACGAGCGCAACCCCCGUCCUUAGUUGCUACCAUUUAGUUGAGCACUCUAAGGAGACUGCCGGUGAUAAGCCGCGAGGAAGGUGGGGAUGACGUCAAGUCCUCAUGGCCCUUACGGGCUGGGCUACACACGUGCUACAAUGGCGGUGACAAUGGGAUGCUAAGGGGCGACCCUUCGCAAAUCUCAAAAAGCCGUCUCAGUUCGGAUUGGGCUCUGCAACUCGAGCCCAUGAAGUUGGAAUCGCUAGUAAUCGUGGAUCAGCACGCCACGGUGAAUACGUUCCCGGGCCUUGUACACACCGCCCGUCACACCAUGGGAGUUGGUUUUACCUGAAGACGGUGCGCUAACCGAAAGGGGGCAGCCGGCCACGGUAGGGUCAGCGACUGGGGUGAAGUCGUAACAAGGUAGCCGU